rnacentral:rRNA from 1 species
CGGAAGGUCCGGCGUUAUCGGAUUAUUGGGUUAAGGGAGUGUAGGCGGCCUGUUAAGCGUGUUGUGAAAUGUAGAUGCUCAACAUCUGAACUGCAGCGCGAACUGGCUGGCUUGAGUACACGCAACGUGGGCGGAAUUCAUGGUGUAGCGGUGAAAUGCUUAGAUAUCAUGAGGAACUCCUAUUGCGAAGGCAGCUCACGGGAGUGUCACUGACGCUUAAGCUCGAAGGUGCGGGUAUCAAACAGGAUU